UGAUUUUAAAAGUUAGUAAAAUGUUGGUUUGGAUAGUCACCCCGUAUGUGUCUUAAGUAGUAAAACAAAGCCCAUGGAGUGUCUGAUGAGGUGCUUUAAAGUGGGGAGAUCCCGUGUGCCUUCACUUCCCCCGACACUACAGUGUGCCUGCCCUACACGGGGAGCUCACGACAGCUGUUUCCUUAUGUCACAUAGAGUGGGUCAGGAAGGGAAGAUGUGUGUGCGCUUGAUGAUCGAUUUCCCCCAAAAAUAAAAAAAA